AAAUAGCCGUCUGGAGAGUCACCAUCUUUAUGGUGCACCGAAGGAGCAAGCACUCAGCCACGCUGCAGUGUGAAUCUCUCAGGUAUCAGGGACAGGGGGAGCGGC
rnacentral:ncRNA from 1 species